UUGUUGGCAAACAGUUUCGGGGGUCGUCCGAGCCUGCCGAGAGCAUCCAGGCUGGACUUGAACUCCUUCCUGGGCUGAAGUGAUCCUCCUGCCUCAGCGUCCUGAAUAGGAAGUGGAGCCAGAAUCCACAGAUGUCAUUAUCCAUCUGCACACUUUGUUUACUACCCAGAAGGCAAGAAUAUUGCAUUUUAAAAGUGCCCGGACUUUUGUUCUUUCUUAUCACAAAUGACUUGGGAAGCUCCGACCACUCAUGUUUACCCCGAGUGAAAGUCCCAUUCAAAGCCUUGCUUCCUGGAGAGCUUUGAGAUUCUGGUACAAAAGGCAUUUUAUAAGCACAAAGUGGAAAAGCAUCAUUCAUAUUCAUUUGCUGCUGCGGCAUUUCUCCCUGGAAUCUUCCUCUUGUCUGUCAACAUUGGGCAAAAGGACUGGCCUCAUCUACAUUACAGAUAUCCUUGUGAUGGUCUGGAGGGACCUGUGGGAGAGGCGGCCAUCCAGAGGGCUCUCUGAGGGGUCAUUUAGAAUGCAGCUCUUCUGGGCAGAGGAUGGUCUGCACUGGCCUCCACCGCGCAGGAAGGCUUCCAGAGUGGAGAAAUGUCCACUAACAUGGCUUCUGUGAGGUAUCAUUCUGAUCAUUGUUGUUACAGGAGAGAUGAGAGGAAAUUAGAGGGGCUAGAAGAACCAGGAGACCUGCUAAAAAUCAUGAAUACAAAGAAAAGUCGUUUGCUUCUGUGCUUCAAUUCUAUAAUAAAAUGAGUAUAACGUCA
rnacentral:lncRNA from 1 species